rnacentral:rRNA from 1 species
GCAGUCGAACGAGCGAGAGAGAGCUUGCUUUCUCGAGCGAGUGGCGAACGGGUGAGUAACGCGUGAGGAACCUGCCUCAAAGAGGGGGACAACAGUUGGAAACGACUGCUAAUACCGCAUAAGCCCACGACCCGGCAUCGGGUAGAGGGAAAAGGAGCAAUCCGCUUUGAGAUGGCCUCGCGUCCGAUUAGCUAGUUGGUGAGGUAACGGCCCACCAAGGCGACGAUCGGUAGCCGGACUGAGAGGUUGAACGGCCACAUUGGGACUGAGACACGGCCCAGACUCCUACGGGAGGCAGCAGUGGGGAAUAUUGCACAAUGGGGGAAACCCUGAUGCAGCGACGCCGCGUGGAGGAAGAAGGUCUUCGGAUUGUAAACUCCUGUUGUUGAGGAAGAUAAUGACGGUACUCAACAAGGAAGUGACGGCUAACUACGUGCCAGCAGCCGCGGUAAAACGUAGGUCACAAGCGUUGUCCGGAAUUACUGGGUGUAAAGGGAGCGCAGGCGGGAAGACAAGUUGGAAGCGAAAUCCAUGGGCUCAACCCAUGAACUGCUUUCAAAACUGUUUUUCUUGAGUAG